UUUGAAUCUAUCCGAUGGCUUCGCGGUAGCUUCGGGAAUAUCCUCUAUCUAUUUGUUGCUGAGGCAAUCCUCGUCGCCGGUAUGUCAGGAAGAUCACCGUUUGAUCUUUCCGGCAUGGGUAUUUUUAUAAACAGCGUAACGGAUGCCGUUCUGAGCGCAUACCCCGGAGCGAAGGUCGGUCUUGAAAUGGGCUUCAUUGCCUUCGCCGGCGACCUUGCAGCUCCAACGAAACUGUUCGCGUGGGAUGGCAUUGAUUGGAACGCACAGAUGCUGAUGUUUCGUCUGGCUGCGCUCGGUC
rnacentral:rRNA from 1 species